UACGUAGGGAGCGAGCGUUAUCCGGAUUUAUUGGGUGUAAAGGGUGCGUAGGCGGUUUAUUAAGUCUGUGGUUUAAGUCCGAAGCUCAACUUCGGUGCGCCAUAGAAACUGAUAGACUUGAGUAUGGUAGAGGCAAGUGGAAUUUCUAGUGUAGCGGUAAAAUGCGUAGAUAUUAGAAGGAACACCAGUGGCGAAGGCGGCUUGCUGGGCCAUUACUGACGCUGAGGCACGAAAGCGUGGGGAGCAAAUAGG
rnacentral:rRNA from 1 species